rnacentral:ncRNA from 1 species
GGAACGAGGUGAGAAUCCUCCACUGAUACAGCAACCGUGAUCGUUCAUAACAGCCGGCCUGCAGAGAUGGCAGAGAGAACGUCAGUCGGGAGAC